AGAAAGAACCUGGAGCCCACAUAAGAGCAAGACCGGCCUCAGUCGAGGAAAUGGUGCCACACAUAUUGAUGGCGGUUGCAGAUGCUCUUAACAACCGAAGAGCGAGAGAGAAUUCUGUUAGAGGCUAGAAAAAUAGCCCGGAAGCCAACGGCAGUCUACACAGCUACAAAAUAAGAUUGACAUGAGAUUCCCUUUGACUCGCCCCAGUUGGGACUGCAACAUGGCUAAAGCCUUUGUUCUCUAGGCUCAAGGUGCUCCAGUGAGUGAGACAGCGAGCAAAAAAGCAGCUCCAGAAGGCCUACUCAAGAGAAGAAGACCUGCUACAUUAGACGUCUCCACGCAGAAAACCUUGAGACUCCGGUGGAAAGGCCCUUAUCUUGUACUCUUAACCAGCCUACUUUCUACCUUUAUGGGACCCCAUUUGACUUUGCUUCUGCUUUUAAUUAUAGGUCCAUGUGUGUUAAAUAGGCAAGUCACCUUUAUUAGAACAAAAAUUAGUGCAGUGCAGCUUUUAGUUUUGAGACAACAGUACUAUGCCCUAAAGGAUCAAGUAUGUCAGGGAAAAGAUAGUGUCUAGUUCUAAGAUUAGAACUACUAACAAGAAGAAGGGGGGAAUGAAAGAGUAGUAAACUCAGUGCUCCAAGGUAUGCUAAUCAUAAAACAGAGAGCGACAUUCCUCCACCCACCCGCUUCCUGGGUUCAAAGAGUGUUAAUUCAAAGAAAGUCACCCUGAUCCACCCUGACCAUUGCUGGAACCCACUAUGCAAAGGUGCUAUUGCUAGGGGCUCUUAGAUUGUUAGGGGCUCUUAGAAACUGUCUUGAGAGAUAUCCUGACACUUGUGACUUUGUACUUCCUUGUGACUCUUAACUGGUAUUUUUGGUAUUUUCCAACAACGCCCUUCCCACCUC